GAGGGAAUCAUUCCCACAGGCCGUGGGAUGAGUGAGGUUUUCACCCAGGCUUGUGUGAUCUGUUGCUGGAGUACUCAUGCAGAUGGAAUAAAAGAGGUUAGAUGAUCAAGGCUGUUACCAGAAGACACAUCAAUAAAGUAGUGCAGCGAACUUCACACCGCCUCAGAAGGGCUGAGCAAGUUCACCUCAAGUCUCUUCAAGCCCUGGAGGUCUACUUUACUCUCUGGAUUCAACUUGUUUUCCCGCUGUUGCCAUCACCUCUGUGACUGAGCUGCAUCCAGGGUUCACGCAUUAAUCAGAAGACACACUUCUUAAAAAGGCAAAAAUCAGCUGUGCAUAAUUGAUGCACAAUUGGAAAGUAAAGCAGACAUUAAAGAGCAAAUACAAACGGCACUCUUUUACUCCCGGGUUGUCACAUUCAGUUUCCUCUGUGCACAUCAGAGAGAAACAAAAUAGGGCAGACGUGAUUUGAUUUCAUGACAUCUGUUUCACUAAUUACAGCAGUAUGUCUCUACAAUUAAUGCUGUGCUCUUCUCAUUGCCAUGCAGGGUAUUUGUGCUUUGAAGGAAUAGUUUGAAAUUUGGUAAAACACACUUGGUCUUUAAGUCUUUUUGCUGUGGUGAUAGAGCUGCAAGGCUGUAAGAUUAGCUCCACAUACAGUUUCAAGAAAGAGUUUGUGAACCCUAUAAAAUUAA
rnacentral:lncRNA from 1 species